UACGUAGGGUGCGAGCGUUGUCCGGAAUCAUUGGGCGUAAAGCGCGUGUAGGCGGUCCGGUAAGUCCGCUGUGAAAGUCGAGGGCUCAACCCUCGAAUGCCGGUGGAUACUGUCGGGCUUGAGUACGGGAGAGGCGAGUGGAAUUCCUGGUGUAGCGGUGAAAUGCGCAGAUAUCAGGAGGAACGCCGAUUGCGAAGGCAGCUCGCUGGAACGUUACUGACGCUGAGACGCGAAAGCGUGGGGAGCAAACAGG
rnacentral:rRNA from 1 species